rnacentral:lncRNA from 1 species
GCUCUCUCACUCAGACCUCCCUUCUUUCCCACAUCGCGUCCCUGCCGUAUCUCUCCCACUCAUUUCAUUUUAGCAGCCGCAUAGUUCGUGGUCAUUUUUCUCUCGGCUUGAUGUUUUGAUUGGAUCUGGUUUGAAGAAGCCCACGCCUUCGUCGCCUUUGGUGGUUGCUUUGCCGUAUCGGGAAUCGGUGCCAAUUGUUGUGAUGAAGCCGGUCGUGUUGCCGCAGAAGAGGGCGUCCCCGGCGGUGGAUGAUUCUUAUUUUAGGCGGAAUUAUUUCGCGGUGGCUGCAACAGCUGCUACGGCUGAGGAUGAAGGGGGAUCGGAGGAGGAAGAGGAGGAUUUGGGGACGAGUGAGGAGAGCGGUGGAGCUGGAGGACAGAAGGAGGGGCAAGUGGAGGGGAUGAAGAAGCUGGUAAGGGCAAUUGAGAGGUUUGGAGAGAUAAGGGAUAAGGGAUAUGGAGAGAUACUCGAUACGUUGCCUUGUAGCCUAGAGUAACUUU